GAUGAACGCUGGCGGCGUGCCUAAUACAUGCAAGUCGAGCGAACAGAUAAGGAGCUUGCUCCUUUGACGUUAGCGGCGGACGGGUGAGUAACACGUGGGUAACCUACCUAUAAGACUGGAAUAACUCCGGGAAACCGGGGCUAAUGCCGGAUAACAUUUAGAACCGCAUGGUUCUAAAGUGAAAGAUGGUUUUGCUAUCACUUAUAGAUGGACCCGCGCCGUAUUAGCUAGUUGGUAAGGUAACGGCUUACCAAGGCAACGAUACGUAGCCGACCUGAGAGGGUGAUCGGCCACACUGGAACUGAGACACGGCCCAGACUCCUACGGGAGGCAGCAGUAGGGAAUCUUCCCCAAUGGGCGAAAGCCUGACGGAGCAACGCCGCGUGAGUGAUGAAGGUCUUCGGAUCGUAAAACUCUGUUAUUAGGGAAGAACAAAUGUGUAAGUAACUGUGCACGUCUUGACGGUACCUAAUCAGAAAGCCACGGCUAACUACGUG
rnacentral:rRNA from 1 species